UGUAAUGCUUCACUUAAACAUAGGUUGGACAUGAUUUGCAAAUCAUUGUAUUCUGUUUUGAUUGAUGAGCAUAAUGUCCCAAUUUCACUGGAAUUGGGUUACUAAAUGAAUGCCUUGAUAGCAUAUUUUUGUUCAACACUGAUUUAGUAAAAUGUGUCACUUUGUUCUCCUUUUCAUGUGGUGGUAUCGACCUUUACCCCCAAAAAGGGAAAAGCAUCUCUCCAAAAGAGGGAAGACUGAAUUGGAUGGUAAGCUUUGGAUUCGAGUCCAGGAAAAAACCUUACACCCAAAGAGCAGGCAAAAUCUAAAUUGGAGAAAAAGACAAGGUCUCCCAGAGCAAAUUUGAGGAGACCAUGGAAUGAAGAAGAAAAGGCUGCUGUGGAAAAACACCUGGGGAGACUUAUAAAAGGGUGUCAAGUGCCUGGCAAAGAACAAUGCACUGACUGCAAAAUGAAAGAGCUGCAGGCCUUGGCUCAAAGAACCUGUAAAGACGUAAAGAACUUCAAGAAAAGAUCUGCUUCUCGAGUUCUUCAUUUUUAAAUUUAAAUUUUCUUGCUGGAGUAUUUUUUUUUCAAUUCUUUUCUACUCUUCCUGAGC